GAUAAACAUCCUUAAAUCCAUCUACUCUGAUCGAAAUCCUCUCGGAACCAUAACUAAGUUCAAAGACCCCCUAGUUCAUCCUGCCAAAUGCAUUAUUGAAAUCUAGUUUUAGCACUAAUCAUUUUUCGUUCUAUACAUAUGUUCCAUUACUUCGUUAGCUAUAGGGGAAAAUAAUCCAAAAUCUUUUUUGAUAUGUUUUUUUUAGAUAUUAGGGUGGUUGAUGUUA
rnacentral:lncRNA from 1 species